CUUUGUUAUUUCUUAUCAUUUUCUUCUUGUGGAAUUUAAUGAUCCGCGUGUGGGUGAUGGUUUGAGUAUAUGAGAAAAUGCAAAGUCCACGAGGAAAAUAAAUCGAUCUCACAGGGCAUAAAAAACUACCAUGGCAUGACUCAGAUACUUAAAUUUAGGCACUUCAUUAGCAAACCAUCUCUAUUUAUUUUAACACGUCGCAAUGGCAUAAACAAUUACUUCAUGCAGAUUCAGCCAGUUUGACAUCAUCCCUCCAAAUGCUGAUUCACACUGCGAUGUGCGAGAAUGUUCUUUUUAUAAAUACUGAGAUGCUCAUAGAGUUGAAAAGAAUUUUCAUAUGCGGAUGAUUUCCUUCGAGUGAAACAAGAAAAAAUGUCAUUGCCGGGUAAAAGCGAAUCAUCAAGUGAAAGAGAAAAAAAACGCAUAUAAAAUCGUGAUGUUAGUCAAGGCUAUUCGUGCAAUAUGUAGAAAAAUCACAAAUUCAUAGAACGUGACGACGGUAAGGAGUGACCCUGUACAAGAAGAAAUAGCGACAGACACACCUUCGAUUAGACUCGAUAUAUUGUGCAGGUGGUCAGACAGAUAAGUUUAGCGGGAGUAGCAAAUGGACACGCGAGAAUUCCUUUCUUUGCAUCAAUUCAAAAGGCUUGGUGUUAAACUUUGCGUCAGAGUUGAAUUAAAUAAAGUAACUGAAGUCUUCUUCCAACCCGAAGGUCAAAAUUGAUCUUCUUGCGUUUUAAUCUCUCUCACUGAAUUCUUCAAUGACUCGCCACACUCGCUAGAAUUUAAUUCUUCAUUUCCCAUCAAUGGUGAAGAAGCCACUAAGUGCAGCUCAUCCAGAAAUAAACUAUUUUAAUACUCACUGGAAAUCAAUGUAAAAUCAUCUUGAGUAAACAAUAAAAAUUCUUAGGAAGGAUUUUCAGUAUCCAAAAAUAGUUUCAAUUCUCCAAU